rnacentral:ncRNA from 1 species
ACAGGGGAAUCCGAAAACCUGCGAAAAGAGUAGGAG